AUGGGGCAGGGACCCAAUUCUAUGGGGCUGGGACCCCCAUCUAUGGGGCAGGGACCCACAUAUGGGGGGUAAAACCCACAUCUAUGGGGCAGGGACCCCCAUCUAUGGGGCAGGGACCCUCCUAUGGGGGGCGGGGACCCCAUCUAUGGGGCUGGGACCCACAUAUAGGGGACAGAGACCCAAUUCUAUGGGGCUGGGACCCCCAUCUAUGGGGCAGGGACCCACAUAUGGGGGGUAAAACCCACAUCUAUGGGGCAGGGACCCAAUUCUAUGGGGCUGGGACCCCCAUCUAUGGGGCAGGGACCCACAUAUGGGGGGUAAAACCCAAUUCUAUGGGGCAGGGACCCCCAUCUAUGGGGUAGGGACCCUCCUAUGGGGGGCGGGGACCCCAUCUAUGGGGCUGGGACCCACAUAUAGGGGACAGAGACCCAAUUCUAUGGGGCAGGGACCCCCAUCUAUGGGGCAGGGACCCUCCUAUGGGGGUCGGGGACCCCAUCUAUGGGGCUGGGACCCACAUAUAGGGGGCAGGGACCCAAUUCUAUGGGGCUGGGACCCCCAUCUAUGGGGCAGGGACCCUCCUGGGGGGGCGGGGACCCAAUUCUAUGGGUCCGUGCCCCCCCACUUGUGGGGCGCUCACCAGGAAGGGCCCCCCGCAGUGCCCACAGGCCACUCGGAGGCCGCCGGGGGGGGGGUCGGGGCUGGGGGCCCCCCCCUGCACCGGGCCCAGGUUGAUGAUGCGCUUACUGGGGGGAACUGGUUUAUACUGGGGGGAACUGGUUUGUACUGGGAGGGGACUGGGUUGUACCGGGAGGGGACUGGGUUGGGCUGGGAGGGGACUGGUUGGGGCUGGGAGGGGACGGGGGCCACCCCCCAGUACAAACCAGUCCCUCCCAGUGACCCCCCAUCCCCUCCCAGUAUAAACCAGUUCAUCCCAGUUCCCUCCCGGUGGCCCCCAAACCCCCUCCCAGUCCCUCCCAGUAUAAACCAUUUGCCCCCCAGUGCCACCAAACCCCCUCCCAGUGCUCCCCGCUCUCCUCCCAGUCCCUCCCAGUAUGACCCAGUACAUCCCAGUUCCCUCCCAGUCCCCCCCCCUCCAUAAACCAGUCCCUCCCAGUGCCCCCAUUCCCCCUCCCAGUACAAACCAGUCCCUCCCACUGCCCUCCACUCCCCUCCCAG
rnacentral:lncRNA from 1 species